AUUGAACGCUGGCGGCAGGCUUAACACAUGCAAGUCGAGCGGGGGAGGUUGCUUCGGUAACUGACCUAGCGGCGGACGGGUGAGUAAUGCUUAGGAAUCUGCCUAUUAGUGGGGGACAACAUUCCGAAAGGGAUGCUAAUACCGCAUACGCCCUACGGGGGAAAGCAGGGGAUCUUCGGACCUUGCGCUAAUAGAUGAGCCUAAGUCGGAUUAGCUAGUUGGUGGGGUAAAGGCCUACCAAGGCGACGAUCUGUAGCGGGUCUGAGAGGAUGAUCCGCCACACUGGGACGGAGACGCGGCCCAGGCUCCUGCGGGAGGCAGCAGUGGGGAAUAUUGGACAAUGGGCGGAAGCCUGAUCCAGCCAUGCCGCGUGUGUGAAGAAGGCCUUUUGGUUGUAAAGCACUUUAAGCGAGGAGGAGGCUCUUAAGGUUAGUACCCUUGAUGAGUGGACGUUACUCGCAGAAUAAGCACCGGCUAACUCUGUGCCAGCCGCCGCGGUAAAAC
rnacentral:rRNA from 1 species